CCUACGGGUGGCAGCAGUGGGGAAUAUUGGACAAUGGGCGAAAGCCUGAUCCAGCAAUGCCGCGUGAGUGAUGAAGGCCUUAGGGUUGUAAAGCUCUUUUACCAGGGAUGAUAAUGACAGUACCUGGAGAAUAAGCUCCGGCUAACUCCGUGCCAGCAGCCGCGGUAAUACGGAGGGAGCUAGCGUUGUUCGGAAUUACUGGGCGUAAAGCGCACGUAGGCGGCUACUCAAGUCAGAGGUGAAAGCCCGGAGCUCAACCCCGUAACUGCCUUUGAAACUAGGUAGCUAGAAGAUUGGAGGGGUCAGUGGAAUUCCGAGUGUAGAGGUGAAUUUCGUAGAUAUUCGGAAGAACACCAGUGGCGAAGGCGACUGACUGGACAAGUAUUGACGCUGAGGUGCGAAAGCGUGGGGAGCAAACAGGAUUAGAUACCCCGGUAGUC
rnacentral:rRNA from 1 species